GACGAACGCUGGCGGCGUGCCUAAUACAUGCAAGUAGAACGCACAGUUUAUACCGUAGCUUGCUACACCAUAAACUGUGAGUUGCGAACGGGUGAGUAACGCGUAGGUAACCUGCCUGGUAGCGGGGGAUAACUAUUGGAAACGAUAGCUAAUACCGCAUAAUAUUAAUUAUUGCAUGAUAAUUGAUUGAAAGAUGCAACUGCAUCACUACCAGAUGGACCUGCGUUGUAUUAGCUAGUAGGUGAGGUAACGGCUCACCUAGGCGACGAUACAUAGCCGACCUGAGAGGGUGAUCGGCCACACUGGGACUGAGACACGGCCCAGACUCCUACGGGAGGCAGCAGUAGGGAAUCUUCGGCAAUGGACGAAAGUCUGACCGAGCAACGCCGCGUGAGUGAAGAAGGUUUUCGGAUCGUAAAGCUCUGUUGUAAGAGAAGAACGGGUGUGAGAGUGGAAAG
rnacentral:rRNA from 1 species